CUUUUUUUAAAAAUUUAAGAGUAAAUAAACGGGUAACAUCGUUACUAUACAAACUGGCAGAAACAAAAACACAAAAAACAAAACAAACAAACAAAAAAACUGUUUCAAGAUAAAUGUUCAGCAGUUGAUGGCUUUUUCUCACGAUGGUCUGCGGAUGCCACUGUGGGCAGUGCCGAUAAUGCCAAUGGCUCGGCUGAUGCCAGGAGGAGCAGAGAGCCCUGCCAGGGGUGGCUGUGCCUCUUGAGUGCAGGCUUGCUGCAAAGUUGUACGGCUGGACUGGGAUCCUCACCGCCCCUCCCCUAGUCACCCUGGCCUCGUUUCCUUACAGCUUCGUUUCUCCCUCUCCCCCCCAGUGUGCCUACCUAGGGCGCCUGGCUCAUGAGGUUGGCUGGAAGUACCAGGCAGUAACGGCUACACUGGAGGAGAAGAGAAAGGAGAAGGCCAAGAUCCACUACCGGAAAAAGAAGCAGCUCAUGAGGCUACGGAAGCAGGCCGAAAAGAACACAGAGAAGAAAAUUGACAAAUUCACAGAGCGUCUUGCAGGGAAAGAG